GAUAACCAAAAAUUACCGCUGCGUUUGUUGUUGGGUUAGUAAUCAUACGAAUGUCACCACCACCAGGAGCCCAAGUAUCAUAAACACCACCAAAGUACAUUGCUUUCCAAACAAGUAACCAAGCACCUAAACCUAAAAUGAUUAGGUGAUAACCUAGAAUAUUAGUCAUUUUGUUUUUGUCUUUCCA
rfam:Pleodorina thompsonii chloroplast psbC gene for photosystem II CP43 apoprotein, partial cds.